rnacentral:rRNA from 1 species
UACGAAGGGGGCUAGCGUUGUUCGGAAUUACUGGGCGUAAAGCGCACGUAGGCGGAUAUUUAAGUUAGGGGUGAAAUCCCAGGGCUCAACCCUGGAACUGCCUUUAAUACUGGGUAUCUCGAGUCCGAGAGAGGUGAGUGGAAUUCCGAGUGUAGAGGUGAAAUUCGUAGAUAUUCGGAGGAACACCAGUGGCGAAGGCGACUUACUGGACACAUAUUGACGCUGAGGUGCGAAAGCCAGGGGAGCAAAGCGGG